UAAUACGGAGGGUGCGAGCGUUAAUCGGAAUUACUGGGCGUAAAGCGCGUGUAGGCGGUUCGACAAGUUGGGCGUAAAAGCUCCCGGCUCAACUGGGAGAGGCCGUCCAAUACUGUCAGGCUAGAGUAGGACAGAGGAGAGGGGAAUUCCGCGUGUAGCAGUGAAAUGCGUAGAUAUGCGGAGGAACACCAAUGGCGAAGGCACCUCUCUGGGUCCAUACUGACGCUGAGAUGCGAAAGCGUGGGGAGCAAACAGGAUUAGAUACCCUGGUAGUCCACGCCCUAAACGAUGUCGACUGGUCGUUGGGGGGUAUGAACUUCUCAGUGACGUAGCUAACGUGGUAAGUCGACCGCCUGGGGAGUACGGCCGCAAGGUUG
rnacentral:rRNA from 1 species